rnacentral:rRNA from 1 species
AUGAUUGUGAAGAUGAAUGGGGCGUCCGAUGACAUUUUCCUCCAUGCUUGGUUGGCCGUGGCAUUCUCCUGCUUCCUUGCCCCAACCACAAGCUUGAGCAUCUCACCAAGGUGUUACACUGCUAUUCUUCACACAAGUGCUAUAAAAGACACCAAGAUAUGCGACUUUGUUAUUGAUCAACUUAGAUUGGCAUUCAUGGGUUUUGGUGACAAGAAGAAGGUUGUUUGCUAUUGUGUUUUCCAUCUAGUUAUUUUGUAUCUGGAUUCAUUGGAUGUUGAUGAACCAAUAACUGCUACACUUCCAAGGGCACGCAUUUGGAAUGCUGAUCUAAUAACCAAAGUGAUGCGGAGCAUCCCUCGACUACCCGCACCGACACUCCAUCACCACUGCAAGCACCGAGAGGACCAAUGA